UCCGGUUUGUCACCGGCAGUCUCGCAUGAGUCCCCAACUGAAUGCUGGCAACAUGCGACGGGGGUUGCGCUCGUUGCGGGACUUAACCCAACAUCUCACGACACGAGCUGACGACAGCCAUGCAGCACCUGUGCUAGCCCCUUACGGACACGGGCUUUCACCCGCUUUAACUAGCAUGUCAAGCCUAGGUAAGGUGGGGAUGACGUCGAAUACGUAAC
rnacentral:misc_RNA from 1 species